rnacentral:misc_RNA from 1 species
GCCUCAUUGGAGAUAUGUCUUCAUUGGGUCAUCGCCCAACAGGUUAUGGAAGUUCUGGAUGGCAAGCUCCUGAACAACUUCUUCAUGGACGUCAAACACGUGCUAUUGAUAUGUUCAGUCUGGGGUCUGUUCUGUUUUUCUGCAUGACUGGUGGUCGUCAUCCCUUUGGAAGUCCUCUUGAGCGUGACAUUAACAUUACAAAGAAUAAAAUGGAUCUUUUCUUGUCGGAACACAUCCCUGAAGCCGAGGAUCUCUUUUCUCGUUUGUUAGAUCCCAUUGCUGAACUGAGACCAAAGGCAGUGAAGGUGCUUGCUCAUCCUUUCUUUUGGACUGCUGAGAUGCGACUGUCAUUUCUUCGUGAUUCAAGCGACAGGGUGGAACUUGAAGAUAGGGAGACUUCUUCUGAUCUUCUGAAAGCAUUAGAAGGUACAGCGCCUGUGGCUUUGGGUGGAAAAUGGGAUGAGAAGAUGGAACCUCCUUUCAUAAAAAAUAUUGGCCAUUACAGGCGAUAUAGAUUUAACAGUAUUCGUGAUUUGCUGCGUGUGAUGCGGAACAAGCUAAAUCAUUAUAGAGAGCUUCCCACCGAAAUUCAGGAAAUUAUAGGAACCGUUCCAGAAGGAUUUGAUGGCUAUUUUAGGAGGCGGUUUCCGCGGCUACUAAUUGAAGUGUAUAAAGUGAUGUCAGAAUACUGUAAAGAUGAAGCCUGUUUUCAGAAGUACUUCACAAGCAGAGUACUUUAGGCUCCUCCAGAUAGUAGCUGGAAUCUUGUUCCAUUCUUACAUUACAUGUAUGAUGUAACAUGUAUUGUAAAUUGUAAUAUACACUAUGUAAAUAUGCCUGUGCCGGGGAGGUACCAGAAAGCUGUCCGAAUACACCACUGUUGUUGGAAACAAAAAU